AACGCACAUGGCACUUCUCUUAAUCGAGGAGUAUGCUUGUUUCAGUGUCGACCCAAUCUCCCAAUUCAUGUAACAAUGAAUUGCUGGGCCGAUGAUCGCUCUGCUUUUUAUAAGCAUGGCGUUUCAAGGAUAAUAGGACAUGUGGACUAGGAGUUCCAUUUAUAUGGCUCAUAGAUCUUCACAUGGUGUGGUGGUGUUUUCCCUCACGGGCAAAACUCUAAAGCCCCCAAGUGAAUGUAUCUCAUAUAAAUGCCUUUUCUAUGGUCAGAUAUGUAACAAUAUCGAAACCAAACAUUCUUUUUGUAUCCGACCUGAAAUCAAGUAAGAAGACCCGCUGGAUUUAA
rnacentral:misc_RNA from 1 species